rnacentral:tRNA from 15 species
AAAGAGUUAGUUUAAGGAGAACCUCUGAUUUCGGCUCAGAUGGUUUUGGUUCAACCCCAAAACUCUUGA